UGCAGUCGAGCGGUAACAGAAAGUAGCUUGCUACUUUGCUGACGAGCGGCGGACGGGUGAGUAAUGCUUGGGAAUAUGCCUUAUGGUGGGGGACAACAGUUGGAAACGACUGCUAAUACCGCAUGAUGUCUACGGACCAAAGUGGGGGACCUUCGGGCCUCACGCCAUAAGAUUAGCCCAAGUGGGAUUAGCUAGUUGGUGAGGUAAUGGCUCACCAAGGCGACGAUCCCUAGCUGGUUUGAGAGGAUGAUCAGCCACACUGGGACUGAGACACGGCCCAGACUCCUACGGGAGGCAGCAGUGGGGAAUAUUGCACAAUGGGCGCAAGCCUGAUGCAGCCAUGCCGCGUGUGUGAAGAAGGCCUUCGGGUUGUAAAGCACUUUCAGUAAGGAGGAAAGGUUAAGUGUUAAUAGCACUUAGCUGUGACGUUACUUACAGAAGAAGCACCGGCUAACUCCGUGCCAGCAGCCGCGGUAAUACGGAGGGUGCGAGCGUUAAUCGGAAUUACUGGGCGUAAAGCGUACGCAGGCGGUUUGUUAAGCGAGAUGUGAAAGCCCCGGGCUCAACCUGGGAACUGCAUUUCGAACUGGCAAACUAGAGUGUGAUAGAGGGUGGUAGAAUUUCAGGUGUAGCGGUGAAAUGCGUAGAGAUCUGAAGGAAUACCGAUGGCGAAGGCAGCCACCUGGGUCAACACUGACGCUCAUGUACGAAAGCGUGGGGAGCAAACAGGAUUAGAUACCCUGGUAGUCCACGCCGUAAACGAUGUCUACUAGAAGCUCGACUCUUCGGACUUGUUUUUCAAAGCUAACGCAUUAAGUAGACCGCCUGGGGAGUACGGCCGCAAGGUUAAAACUCAAAUGAAUUGACGGGGGCCCGCACAAGCGGUGGAGCAUGUGGUUUAAUUCGAUGCAACGCGAAGAACCUUACCUACACUUGACAUACAGAGAACUUACCAGAGAUGGUUUGGUGCCUUCGGGAACUCUGAUACAGGUGCUGCAUGGCUGUCGUCAGCUCGUGUUGUGAGAUGUUGGGGUUAAGUCCCGCAACGAGCGCAACCCCUAUCCUUAGUUGCCAGCGAUUCGGUCGGGAACUCUAAGGAGACUGCCGGUGAUAAACCGGA
rnacentral:rRNA from 1 species